rnacentral:lncRNA from 1 species
GUGAGGGGGCAGUGAACCACAAAGAUGAAGACUGGAUCUGGUGUGAAGGGAUGGGGGCUGAGCUCCAUUUACGUUGCAAUGAGCAUCUAGAAAGGUGUUUGUUUUACUGGGAUGUUUUUAUGGCACCCUGCAAUAUUUUAAUUUUUCCCUUAUUCAUUCUUUUCUAAAAUCCUUGAAAGAUCCCACUAGGGCUGUUCUUGCCUUUAGAACUGUGGCGGGAGGCCGGGUUGAACAUCCGCCUCCCUAUUCCUCCUUUCAG